AUACGGAGGACGCGAGCGUUAUCCGGAUUCAUUGGGUUUAAAGGGUGCGCAGGCGGCCGUGCAAGUCAGCGGUGAAAGCCCGGGGCUCAACCCCGGAAGUGCCGUUGAUACUGCAUGGCUGGAAUGCGGUCGAGGCGGGCGGAACGUGGCGUGUAGCGGUGAAAUGCGUAGAUAUGCCACAGAACGCCGAUAGCGGGGGCAGCUCGCCAGGCCUGCAUUGACGCUCGGGCACGAAAGCGUGGGGAUCGAACAGGAUUAGAUACCCUGGUAGUCCACGCCGUAAACGAUGGGCGCUCGUCGUCGGCGGCAGACAGUCGGCGGCCAAGCGAAAGCGAUAAGCGCCCCACCUGGGGAGUACGGUCGCAAGGCUGAAACUCAAAUGAAUUGACGGGG
rnacentral:rRNA from 1 species